GCGCACGGGUGCGUAACGCGUAUGCAACCUACCUUGUACAGGGGGAUAGCCCAUGGAAACGUGGAUUAAUACCCCAUAGUAUAUAAUUAUCGCAUGGUGAUUAUAUUAAAACUUCGGUGGUACAAGAUGGGCAUGCGUAGGAUUAGCUAGUAGGUGAGGUAAUGGCUCACCUAGGCGACGAUCCUUAGGGGUUCUGAGAGGAUUAUCCCCCACACUGGUACUGAGACACGGACCAGACUCCUACGGGAGGCAGCAGUGAGGAAUAUUGGUCAAUGGGCGAGAGCCUGAACCAGCCAUCCCGCGUGCAGGAUGACGGCCCUACGGGUUGUAAACUGCUUUUCUAUGCCAAGAAACCUACUUACGUGUAAGUAGUUGCCGGUAGCAUAGGAAUAAGCAUCGGCUAACUCCGUGCCAGCAGCCGCGGUAAUACGGAGGAUGCAAGCGUUAUCCGGAUUCAUUGGGUUUAAAGGGUGCGCAGGCGGGCUUGUAAGUCAGUGGUGAAAUCUUGCCGCUUAACGGUAAAAUUGCCAUUGAUACUGCAAGUCUUGAAUAUGGUUGAGGUAGGCGGAAUGUGUUGUGUAGCGGUGAAAUGCAUAGAUAUGACACAGAACACCGAUUGCGAAGGCAGCUUACUAAGCCAUCAUUGACGCUGAGGCACGAAAGCGUGGGGAGCGAACAGGAUUAGAUACCCUGGUAGUCCACGCCCGUAAACGAUGAUCACUCGCUGUUUAGCGAUAUACAGUAAGCGGGCUGAGCGAAAGCAUUAAGUGAGUCCACCUGGUGGAGUACGAUCGCAAGGUUGAAACUCACAAGGAAUGUGACGGGGGCCCGCACAAGCGGAGGAAUCAUGUGGUGCUUAAUUCGAUGAUACGCGAGGAACCUUACCUGGGCU
rnacentral:rRNA from 1 species